GCCAACGGGCAACGGCAUAUGCCGUGCGCGUUGCAGGCGGACCCACAUGUCCCCUGGCGGGCCCCACAUGUCGUGCCAACCAUGGAAAUAUCUAUCUCUCCUCUGCGCCGCCGCCAGGAUUUAGGGUUCUAGGCCGACUCCACUCCAAUCCAAUCCAAUCCAGGGGCGGGCGACUGCUUCCUUGCCCGAUUUAUUCCCCAUCUUGUCCCUCCCUAUAAGGUCGCCUUUCCUCCCUUUGCUAAAUAGAACGAGGCAGAGGCAUCUUCUUCGACUCGACGUGCGCUUCCUCUUCCUCGCUCGCUCCCAGUCGCAGUGAUGGCUGAUGUUGAUGAGUACCGUUGCUUCAUCGGGAAUCUGUCCUGGUCGACGACUGAUGAAAGCCUCAAGGAUGCAUUCAGCAAAUUUGGCAACCUAACUGAGGCGAAGGUGGUCCUUGACAAAUUUUCUGGCCGUUCUCGUGGUUUCGGCUUUGUAACUUUUGAUGAGAAGCAAGCCAUGGAGGAUGCUAUUGAGGGAAUGAAUGGACUGGACUUGGACGGAAGGAACAUCACUGUUGAUAAAGCUCAGCCACAAGGACCUGGUAGAGACCGCAAUGGUGACCGUGAUUAUGACCGUGAUCGUGGAUCUCGUUAUGACCGUGGUCGUGACUAUGGUAGUGGGCGUGCACCGCGAGGAGGUGGUGGUGGGGACUGCUUCAAGUGUGGGAAACCUGGUCAUUUUGCUAGAGAAUGCCCAUCUGGGGAUGGUGGGAGAGGGGACAGAUAUGGUGGCAGAGAUGACAGGUAUGGUGGUGGUGGCGGCGGUGGCGGGCGUUAUGGAUCUGAGCGUGGUGGCGACCGAUACUCUGGCCGUAGCCGAGAUGGCGGCAGCUAUGGGGGUGACCGCUACAGCCGUGACCGAUCAGGUCCUUACUGAUAGCCUAGUUCUUGAGAAGUAUGUGCCAUCCAGGUAUGAAAGUCUAUCUACUAUUAUAAGGCUUGUUAUUGUGUCUGGAACUUAGUUAUCCUGUCGUUGGAGUCGCCAUGUACCGUGAGAAAUCAGUUGCUUUGUUAUAGACCGUAUUACUGACCGGUUUAUUAUUGUUUCCUGCUUGCCAGGCAUAUGACUUGGUCAUAGUGCUUGGCGCUUGGAUCCUGCAUGUUUGCUUGAUAUGCUAUUUGGCUAUUAAAAGAUGGAUAUUGUUCCUGUGUUGAUGAUCCUGGUCCUAAUUAUGCUUAUGUGGAUAUGCCUGGGAUAUGGGGGAUUGGAUGGCAAGUUAUUGUCCGCAUUUGCGUUCUUUUCGGGGAAGCAAGGGGUUGUCUAUAAUCUGCUUGAACACACCUACAACCACAAGAAAAAUCUAUGUUCUUGUCACCUCUUCUGAAAGCAAGUGAUGAAUCAUCCACUAGGGAACAUUAACUGGCUUCUUUUUGGUUAUUUGUUCUUGUUCUGGAUUGGUUUCUACCGUCGUUCUGGAUUGGUUACUUACGUCCUAAGAUCGUUUCAGUCGUCUCAUUUUAGUCUGGCCAGUAUCCAUGAAUGCAAAGAGAUUAUUCUUUGGUUCCAUUCUAUGUGCCUUUAGCAUUGGAGGACCACUGUUUCACACUUCAUCGGGUGUCUUGAUGAACUGGUUAUGGUUGCUUCACCAUGCUGGGGUGUUCCUUGAGCUGCCCUCUGUUCCUGUUCCUGUUCCUUGUGAAACCAGAGAUUAUGCUUAUUCAGCCUGAGUGGAUGUGAUGCUAUCUGGUUGCUGUUCCAUUGACACUGCACCGCUGGCCUAUUUCAGCUUAUACGCUGGUUCCAGAGUAGUUACUGGUCCCUUUUGAGAGGAGUUAUGAUGAUAUUAUGAUUCAUCAGCAGCAACUAGUUGUCCUUUGGCAUCUACAUGUGUCUUGUCUUUGAUUUAGAGUAGCCUUUUCUUAAUUCACCUAUUCUCAGGAUGCAAACGUUAGGGAGCAUUUGAUGUUCGAACUAGCCAAUUGAGUUUUUGUACUCAAGUACGUUACAUUAGCUGCUCAAGAUUCUUUUCCCCGGUUUUAAACAUGUUGAUUUGUACUGAAAAGUGAUUCUCUUUCUCUA